rnacentral:lncRNA from 1 species
UUGUUCUCAUUUCUGCUACUUCUUCAGUUGGAUGGAGGGAAGAAAAUGGCGUCUGAAGUCCUCUUUGAUCGGAAGGACUUCUCCACCUCCGGAGCCACAUUGAACGCCGCCUGCAAAACCUCAGGCGACAAAGCUUUCCACACUGAUGUUUUUCCGGCCAAAUGUGUGAAGAUCGGACUACAAACACACAGAAACAAAGUUUCAAACAUAUUAGUUUCUUUCAAUUUCAAAACUCAAAAAGUAAAGUGCAGAGAAAAGUUCUUACUCAGGAGUGGUGACAAUGGAGAACCAAGACAUGCCAUCAGAAUCAGCAAUCUUAGAAACCACAAAGAACCUUGGAACAAUGAAGAGAGAACCAGCUUUGAUAUGGGUCUCAAGAACUCUUUUCCCAUCAGCACCAACCACCUGGACUCUUCCACUUCCACCCACAAUGUAAGUCACCUGAAGAGCAGAGUCACAAGAGAAACCAGGCGAACACAUGGAAUGUCCAUCAAUCCUCACAAGAUCAGCUCCAAACCCAACCUCUCCAACCAAAGGAAGGUUCUUGGUGUUCAAGACAACGACUCUGCCUCCAUCCUUGAUAUCAACAUCAAGAGGAGCCUCCAAACAGUUCAAGACAAACCCAUCACGGUGCUCCUUCUUGGGCUGUGGCAUCUUGACGCUCGCAUCAAGCUUCACAAUACCAUUACCGGUUUGAGAACCAACAAGUUUCUUCACGGUGUUCUCAUCAAGGUCCCAGGCUCUGCUUACAAACUCAGUGGAGAAACCAGUGAAGAUACCAUUUGAGCCAGUGAGAUAGAACUCAGUGAACUGUCCUGCUUUGUGACCCUUGUGGGUUUCACCAAGGAAGAGGAUAACAAGCUCAGCAUCCUCGUUGUUGAACCACCAUGUGACCACACCAAAGGGAAGAGCAAUCGAAUCGCCUUGCUUGAUUGCGAUCACCUUCUCCUCCUGCUCUGGGAGAACAAUUCCAGCAGUUCCAGAUCCUGAAACAGAAUUUGAAAAAGUCAAAUAAACAAGCUUUCAAUUCCUUACACGCGAGGUUGAUCAAAUCAACGAUUAAGACGUGAUUAAGCAAAACAAAAACAGCAAAAGACAACUUUUUUCCUGCACACAGUAGUCGUGAUCUAUUUGACUAUCAUAUUUUUCACUUUCUACAGAUUUUUCAGAAUCAUACAAGAAUAAGAUCAGCUUAAUAGAUCACAGAAUCAGCAUCACAAUAAACCAAAUCAGAGUAGUCAAUUUGCAUGAAUCACCAUAAAGUUGACAACUUUUGAAGAAACAAAAGAUCAGAACAUAGAAAAGAUCAAAAACCCUCAAAAGAAAAAACUUGAUCGAAGCAGAGAUAUGAAAUCGAUCAAACCCAUUAUACAAAAACACAUGGAUCGCAUUAAAGUCGACAACUUUCGAAGAAAAUCAGGAAAAAAACGAACCUUGAAGAACAUAAGCGACCUUGGAGGAAUCAGAGUAACGAGGGAUAGCGAAGCCAUGCUUCUCAAGAGCAAGCUUAGCGGCUCCAAUGUUACCCUGUUUGAGCAUCGGCAACUCUUCUGGGCACCACGCAAAGUAAGAUCCACCAUCUCCUCCGUAAACCUUCUU